rnacentral:rRNA from 1 species
UAGGGAAUCUUCCGCAAUGGGCGAAAGCCUGACGGAGCAACGCCGCGUGAGUGAUGAAGGUCUUCGGAUCGUAAAACUCUGUUAUUAGGGAAGAACAAAUGUGUAAGUAACUAUGCACGUCUUGACGGUACCUAAUCAGAAAGCCACGGCUAACUACGUGCCAGCAGCCGCGGUAAUACGUAGGUGGCAAGCGUUAUCCGGAAUUAUUGGGCGUAAAGCGCGCGUAGGCGGUUUUUUAAGUCUGAUGUGAAAGCCCACGGCUCAACCGUGGAGGGUCAUUGGAAACUGGAAAACUUGAGUGCAGAAGAGGAAAGUGGAAUUCCAGGUGUAGCGGUGAAAUGCGCAGAGAUAUGGAGGAACAACAGUGGCGAAGGCGACUUUCUGGUCUGUAACUGACGCUGAUGUGCGAAAGCGUGGGGAUCAAACAGG